rnacentral:rRNA from 1 species
CAGUCGCCGCGGGAAUACGUAGGUGGCAAGCGUUGUCCGGAAUUAUUGGGCGUAAAGGGCUCGCAGGCGGUUUCUUAAGUCUGAUGUGAAAGCCCCCGGCUCAACCGGGGAGGGUCAUUGGAAACUGGGAAACUUGAGUGCAGAAGAGGAGAGUGGAAUUCCACGUGUAGCGGUGAAAUGUAUAGAGAUGUGGAGGAACACCAGUGGCGAAGGCGACUCUCUGGUCUGUAACUGACGCUGAGGAGCGAAAGCGUGGGGAGCGAACAGGAUUAGAUACCCCCGUAGUCCCUGUCUCUUAUAC